GACGAACGCUGGCGGCGUGCCUAAUACAUGCAAGUCGAACGCACUCUCGUUUAGAUUGAAGGAGCUUGCUCCUGAUUGAUAAACAUUUGAGUGAGUGGCGGACGGGUGAGUAACACGUGGGUAACCUGCCCUAAAGUGGGGGAUAACAUUUGGAAACAGAUGCUAAUACCGCAUAAAACCUAACACCGCAUGGUGUAGGGUUGAAAGAUGGUUUCGGCUAUCACUUUAGGAUGGACCCGCGGUGCAUUAGUUAGUUGGUGAGGUAAAGGCUCACCAAGACCGUGAUGCAUAGCCGACCUGAGAGGGUAAUCGGCCACACUGGGACUGAGACACGGCCCAGACUCCUACGGGAGGCAGCAGUAGGGAAUCUUCCACAAUGGACGAAAGUCUGAUGGAGCAACGCCGCGUGAGUGAAGAAGGUUUCGGAUCGUAAAACUCUGUUGUUGGAGAAGAAUGUAUCUGAUAGUAACUGAUCAGGUAGUGACGGUAU
rnacentral:rRNA from 1 species